AUAGAAGUGGCGAGUGGGUGGAUUUUUCCACCCGCAACCAGCAUACGAUUUGUUUUUUAAUUUAUAUAUUAUUAAGAGUUAAAUGUACUUUGUCCGACUUGGGUUUGUCCCUGGCUUAUGAAAUUUGGGGUUGCUCUAAUAGGCAUAGGCAUUCGCCUUUCGAGUUUUUGCAAUCGUUCUUUAUCCCCGACAGUCUGCUGCUCUUCGCCGACCACCAGCAUCACUGCGAAACUCCGUGACUGCUCAGCGACCGUCCGCCUUCUCUGCUCGUCUGCCGCAGUUCACGCUUCUCUACCCGUCCGUCAUCCAGCCUUCUUCAUCUGAUGAUUUUCUGAUUCUUAACUAUUGAGUGCCAUUGAUUUUCCAUUGUUGCAUCUGAUGGUCCAAUCGGUUCAAUUGAGUGUGUGGGCGUUCUGGGCAGCUUGAAGUAAUCAUCAUCCUCGUCGUCUCUGUGCAAUUUACUGUCCAAAAAUUGCUGGUUUGGACGGCGUUCUGGGGAUGGCGGGGGAGUCGUUUCAGGGGAGACGGAGUUGCCGACAGCGGCCGCCCCUUCCCAGAGGUCUUUGCCGCCAGUGUCUCCCCUUUUAUUUCGAAUCAACAGAGAUCUUAGAUUGAGAUCUCCAUCGAUUCAAGGGUAAAGAUUUUUCGUAUUCUAAUGGCAUUGCUCUUCAUUUUCCCAUUUUAAUACACAUUUAUUUUUUCUUUAAGUUUUUUCUGGGUAUUUUUCUCCCAUCAUCACAAUCCAAAGCUACGAAUCGCCAUACGCUACUGUCCAAAGAUUUUUCUGGUUUUCUUGAUUUUGCAGAGUUGCAGCUAUAGUCCAUUGCUUUAGCUCCAUUUCCAGAAACGAAAGAGAGAGAGUUUUGCAGGAGAAAGUUUCAAAAGCAAAAAUGACUUUUCCAUAGUGAGGGUAUCACUUUUUUUUAUAUACAUGGACUGGCAACCACGUAAAAAUUAAUUAUUAGAUGAUCUCGGAACAUACUAGUGGAAAGAGUGAUCACUGGAUACGAUUCUACAUUUUACCUCAUCUUUUGGUGGGAUUCGACAUUGUCCCGGAUAUUUUCUACUUCUUUUUUUUUUCUAAGAAAAAAAUUGAAAAGAAAUCUCAAAAAUCAUGUAGUCAUUAUGUAGGAGAUCGAGAGGUAUUUAGUGAUAAUGGGUAUUUUGGUAGUUUGUGUAAUUUGAACUUCGUAAAAAUUUGAUUAGUAUAAACCGAUGGAUUUAUUUUUGAUUUUAGGGGAUAAUGAUCCUCAACAUCAUCAUCACAUUCUGCUGGAAUGGAUCCUGGUUUUAGAUCUCCAUUGAAUGAUCCUUCUUUAGGAAUGGAUUGGCAGAACAUUCCUAGGAAUGCUUGGCCGGAUUCUGUUUCAGGAUAUAGACAAUAUGAUGAGCAGAAUUCUGGGUACAAGAUCAGAUCCAGUAUGCCAUAUGAACCUGUAGCAUGUUGAUAUGUUGGGGAACUGUAGCAUGUUGUAUUGGUAUUCCUGUGAAAUGUUCCAGAAAUAAAGGAAAUAAUGAAGUGAUGGGGGCCAUAUAACAGCUUGGAGAUGCCAAAGAUGUAAUGGAAGCCGUUCGAAACAUUGAUGGGUAAAGAUUUUUCGUAUUCUGAUGGCAUUGCUCCCAUUCUAAUACACAUUUAUUUUUUCUUUAAGUUUUUUCUGGGCUUUUUUCUCCCAUCUUCACAAUCCAAAGCUACGAAUUGCCAUACGCUACUGUCCAAAGAUUUUGCCGGUUUUCUUGAAUUCCCGUAUGCCUACAUUGAAUAAGAUCUAAUCCUGAUAGUUCUUCAAGUAAAUUAUUAUGAAUUUCUUUGGGCACUAUAGUUUAGUAGAUAUCUCUGGAAAAGAAGAAACAUGGCUGUUUACAAUAGAGUCAGGGCACUCUGCAGCAACUCAGAGAGGAAGUUCUUUUUUUUCUCCAAUGAACACCACAAGAUGAGCUGAUGGGAGGAGCAAACACCAAGGUUGGGUGUUAAGGUUAGAGGAACAGUGCAAAAGGCCAUUCCAAGGGGGUUUUCAUUCCCACAGGAUAAGCUGGAGAACUAAUGACACAUAAUCUGUAAUUUUCAAUUCAGUUGAUGAAUUUGCCGAGUCCGUUGGGUCUUCUGAGAUUGAGUUGCCUAUGUAAUAUAGUAUAGAGUUGGAUAGAGACAAAUGUUUAGUAGAGCAGAAGAGGAGCUAUUGGCAAAGAAACCUUCAAGAGAUAAAGUUUGGCUAGAAUGGUCAAGGACCUUGUAUGAGGAUUAACAUACUAGAAUCUAUCGUGCUCCAUUGUCUUACUUGAAAAUAAUAUUCAGUGUUUUACCUUUUCUUUUCUA